UUAAACCAGUUACCUACAGCUGAUGAGCUCCGGAAAGAGCAAAACCAGUUCUGUUCUAUUUCAGCAGUUAUGAAUGCUAAGAACUGGUCCUGUAGUAAUGUUGAACAUCGA
rnacentral:hammerhead_ribozyme from 1 species